rnacentral:lncRNA from 1 species
ACCAUUUUUGAUUUUGCAGGUUCGGCACGAAUUUUUAAAAAACUAACCAAAAUACCCUUAUUUCCCUCUCUAUCUCUUUCUCUUUCUCUCUCUCUCUUUUGUUUUCUUGUUCGUCUUUCUCCUCUACUGGUUUGUCUUCCUCCUCCUUGUCGUUUCUUUCUCUUAUUCUCCUUCCCGUUUCCUCUUCCUUUUUCUUUUCCUCCACAACCCCAACAUCUACGUCGCGCUCCACUCUCUUACCCCGGACACAUCUCCACCGAUGCUGGCUCAAAUAUGAUAUAGAUUACAUGAGGUGAGCUAAGCAUAUGGUUGUGGAUGGCGACGGUGAUGAGCGUAGUGAAGGAUUUAAGAUGAUUGGGUGGGAGAGCGCGUCUGGCGGGGGCGGUGGCUGCGGUAGAGGGUGAGGGAGAGGACGCGAUAGCAAAAAAAGAUACAAAAU